AGACGAAUCGAAUAACCCAUUGUUGGGUUGCUGCCACCGAAUUGGUAGUUUUUACAAAAUUUUGCAGUUUUUUGUUAUUAUUUUGAAUAUUAUUAUAGAUAUAUAUUAACUGUAAGCGGCAAUAAUGUUCAGCAAAGUAAGAUCUACAAAAACUAAUAUGACCAUAAUUGUCAAUUGACCCCUUAAGGAGUUAUUGUCCUUUAAAGACAAUUUUAAACAAUUUGUUCAUCAAGUUUGCUAACAUUUAAAAAUCUUCUCCUCUGAAACUACCGGGCAAAUUACCUUCAAACUUUAACUAAAUGUUCCUUAGGGUAUCUUGUUUAUAAAUUGUAUCCGAAGUUUGUAUCCAUCGACAAACAUGGCCGCCAUGGCUAAAAAUAGAACAUAAGGGUCAAAUGCAGUUUUUGGCUUAUAUCUCAAAAAUUAAAUCUUUCAGAGCAAAUGUGACGAGGUAAAAUUGUUUAAUUUGUCAAGAUCUAUCGGCCCUGACAUUUUCAGACAAAUCGAACAACCCAUUGUUGGGUUGCUGCCACCGAAUUGGUAGUUUUAACAAAAUUUUGAAGUUUUUUGUUAUUAUUUUGAAUACUUUUAUAGAUAUAUAUAAACUGUAAGCAGCAAUAAUGUUCAGCAAAGUAAGAUCUACAAAAAAGUUAAUAUGACCAUAAUUGUCAAUUGACCCCUUAAGGAGUUAUUGCCCUUUAAAGACAAUUUUACACAAUUUGUUCAUCAAGUUUGCUAACAUUGAAAAAUCUUCUCCUCUGAAAUACAGGUGAGCGAUUCAGGCUCUUGAGAGCCUCUUGUUUGUUUCAUAAACAGAU